CACUCCCACUCCACUGCGCAGGAGCAGGCGGCAAUGGACAAAACACAGCCCAACCCUAAAGUCUCCCGUUUCUAUCUGGGACUCAGCCCCAGUGUGAAAGCUCCUACGAGGGACUCUGUAUGGACUUCUGUGAAGUCUGAAUCUCAGGGUUUCAACUUGUUCCCUUCUAACUAGGGGCUACAAGAUAGGGUCAUUUGCUGUCCUGCCCUUGCCUGCCCUUCCAGCUUUUACAUCAUAAAGGCCUGGGUAGUAUUUCCUAAGCAAGAGUAGUUACCUGUCUGUGUGGUGAGAAAAAUCACCUCUCAAGAUAGGAAAAAUAAAGAUCCCUAGAGGCACCCCUGAAUGGUCCAGCCUCACGUGCUGUCCCCGUGGCUGCGGUUCUAAGUCUCUUACCUCCAGCAACUUCCUCUCAUCCAUAAAAAUGUCCUGGGCAGAAUCACGCCUGAGAGAGACAAGAGACAAGAGGCAGAGGCUGUGAUGGAAGAGCUCACCCGGCCACCAGUCUGCCUGUAGGAAGCUCACUGCAGUCCGCAUCAGCCCGCCAGGUCUUGGAAAAAAUCCAUCUGGGGCCGCCGUCGCCAGUCAUACCAAAUGGCCACAGUGCCAUUAUUGACCACAGUCAGUUCUGAAGAUGUUUUCUCCCCUUCGAGGGUCUCAAAUGUCAGGCGGACACCAAUUCCAAUGUUUUUCUGUGGGAGGAAAUGGGUGCAAGCAUUGUCUUGGCUAAAGAUCUUGCCCUAAGGUGACCAAGUUGUCCCUGUUUCCUAUGACUUCUCUGGAAGUCUAGCAUUCACACUGGUCCUCUGGGCUUGGUCUCCCUGAGUGGUGUCAACUCCUAUACUGGUAAUUGUCUCUGAGGUUAUCUCCAGUACUAAGAAGAGAAGCAUUUUACACCCAGUGUUUGCUUCUGCUCCUUAGCAUCUGAAGACUGUUCUAGAACUGGCAUUGGAGAGGUGACUUGGAGGUUAGUUUGCAACCCAAAGACUGGAGAAUCCAGGUUGAAUGUGACAGCCUGCCUGCAAUCCCAGCACACAGGAGGUGAAGACAGAAUCCUCAGAGCAAGCUGGCUGGCCAGACUCAUCCAAACAGUAGCUCUAAGUUCAGUGAAAGUCCCUGCGUCAGUACACAGGUGGAAAGCAAGAGAGGAAGAUACUCUGUCAGCCUCAGGCCUAGACACUUAUGUUCCCACAAGUGAUGUGCUCCGCACCCACAUGUGUGCUCACACAUAUUUGAACAUGCACAUGUACACAAGCCUGCACACAUAUCACAUACAUAUACAUAUACAAAACUAUAAUAAUUAUUAAGCACUAACCUAAAACCUCCAUCUAGCCCUAUCGAUAUAAAAGAGUUUAUUUGAGUGCUUGAGGGCUAGGUAAAAAAUAGGUAUUAUCAGUAAUACAUCCCCCCCCCCCAGGAUUUCUUUGUGUAGUCCUCGCUGUCCUAGAACCAGCUCUGUAGACCAGGUUGGCCUCUAACUCACAGAGAUCUUCCUGGCUCUGCCUUCUGAUUGCUGGAAUGUAAGGCAUGUACUAUCACCAUCAGCGUUUUUAGCCUUGUGAUCUCAUUUUUGCCUAAGUUAGUGCUCCUGCUUCCAUUUUUGGGCAUGUGGAAUGUGCGAUCAGAUAAAAACACAUAUCAGAAA